AUAUAUAUAUUUAAAAAUAUAUUUACUUUGCUUUAUUAAUACAUUGUCAAGGACAUGAAUCUCGAAGAAAGAAAAUCCUCAAUAGACUCUUGUAACAUUGAAAGGAACUAAAAAGUCACUGAAAGAUGAUGUAAUAUUGAACUGGAAUGGCUAUUGCCAAAAACAAGAAGUCUAAAAAGGCUUGAAACAAGACUAAGGACUAGAAAGGUGUUGACAAGAGUGAAGAAGGCUUUCACUCUUGUCUCCAUAUAUACUCUUAACUAGAAGUUACGUUGCAAUGUUCUACAGGACUUCCAAAACGUGUUGACUUUGUG
rnacentral:lncRNA from 1 species